ACCAAUAUUCUGUGUCAGAGAAGGAAAUAACUUAGAUAAGAUCAAUUUUCAAACAUGUUUCUUCAGGAAGGAACUAAAGAGCACUCCUGAAAACUACCUCCUGGAAUGUAAAAAUUCUGAUCUUCGGGAAAGUAAAGGAACUGCUGUGUGAGAUGAAAAAUGUCAAUAUAUUUGGAGGACAGGCUAUUUCAGACUGGUGGUGAACAACUCCAAAGUCAUGUUUUGGUGAACUUCUGCUCCAAUACCUAUAAGAAGAGUUGGGGCAGAACAGGGCUGUGAGUGUUUGCAGCUGCCCUUGGAGCUGGAGUGGAGGGAGUCCCCCCUGUGCUGCCCAGAGCUCAGCACAAAGGGAUGUGCAAGGUAAACUGCUUUUAAAAAGUCACUGGCUGGGCCUUUCAAAUCAUGUUUAGGGUUCUCUC
rnacentral:lncRNA from 1 species